UGAGCUUUUACAAACAUCACAGCCGACCUUUUUACUAGCAUUGCCCCAGUAUAACAUACAAUCAUUCGAUCAUGCAUCAAUCUUCACAUACCUAAGAUUUCGUGUAGAAAUAUUUUUCUUUGCUUCAUAGUAUGUAGUCGGGAUUAUAUUUCCAUCUGGAAAUGCCUCAUUUAAAGACUCCAAUAAGCAUGUCAAAGAUUUUGUUGACCAUCCAAAAAGUACUUUGAAGUGGUAAAGUCGAAGUAGGAAUGAGACGCAUGAGAACUAGAUGCAACCAAGAUAGAGCAGAAUAUCGCAAUCAUCUAAAAGAGUAGUUG
rnacentral:lncRNA from 1 species